rnacentral:rRNA from 1 species
GGAAUAUUGCGCAAUGGGCGAAAGCCUGACGCAGCGACGCCGCGUGGAGGAUGAAGGUCUUAGGAUUGUAAACUCCUGUCAGAUGGAAAGAAAAGUUCAUGCCUAAUAAGUGUGAAAUAUGACGGUACCAUCAGAGGAAGCACCGGCUAACUUCGUGCCAGCAGCCGCGGUAAUACGAAGGGUGCAAACGUUAUUCGGAAUCCCUGGGCGUAAAGGGUGCGUAGACGGUAUGUUAAGUUCGUUGUUAAAGGCUCCGGCCUAACCGGAGUAUUGCGAUGAAAACUGGCAAGCUAGAUGGUGAGAGAGAGAAGUGGAAUUCCCGGAGUAGCGGUAAAAUGCGUGGAUCUCGGGAGGAACACCAAUGGCGAAGGCAGCUUCUUGGCUCAUACCUGACGUUGAGGCACGAAAGCGUGGGGAGCAAAC